rnacentral:rRNA from 1 species
UACGGGGGGGGCAAGCGUUGUUCAGAAUUACUGGGCGUAAAGGGCGCGUAGGCGGCCUUCUAAGUCGGACGUGAAAUCCCUCGGCUUAACCGAGGAACUGCGUCCGAUACUGAAAGGCUUGAAUCCGGGAGAGGGAUGUGGAAUUCCAGGUGUAGCGGUGAAAUGCGUAGAUAUCUGGAGGAACACCGGUGGCGAAGGCGGCAUCCUGGACCGGCAUUGACGCUGAGGCGCGAAAGCUAGGGGAGCAAACGGG